rnacentral:rRNA from 1 species
GCAUAUCAAUAAGCGGAGGAAAAGAAACCAACAGGGAUUGCCCCAGUAACGGCGAGUGAAGCGGCAACAGCUCAAAUUUGAAAUCUGGCCUAGUGCCCGAGUUGUAAUUUGUAGAGGAUGCUUUUGGCGACGCGCCUUCCGAGUUCCCUGGAACGGGACGCCAUAGAGGGUGAGAGCCCCGUCCGGUCGUGCGCCUAGCCUCUGUAAAGCUCCUUCGACGAGUCGAGUAGUUUGGGAAUGCUGCUCUAAAUGGGAGGUAUACGUCUUCUAAAGCUAAAUACCGGCCAGAGACCGAUAGCGCACAAGUAGAGUGAUCGAAAGAUGAAAAGCACUUUGAAAAGAGGGUUAAAUAGUACGUGAAAUUGCUGAAAGGGAAGCGCUUAUGACCAGACUUGGGCGCGGCGGAUCAUCCGGCGUUCUCGCCGGUGCACUCCACCGCCCCAGGCCAGCAUCAGUUCGCGCCGGGGGAUAAAGGCUUCGGGAAUGUGGCUCUCUCGGGAGUGUUAUAGCCCGUUGCGUAAUACCCUGGUGCGGACUGAGGUCCGCGCUCUGCAAGGAUGCUGGCGUAAUGGUCAUCAGUGACCCGUCUUGAAACACGGACCAAGGAGUCGUCUUCGUAUGCGAGUGUUCGGGUGUCAAACCCCUACGCGGAAUGAAAGUGAACGUAGGAGAGAGCUUCGGCGCAUCUCCGACCGAUCCUGAUGUUCUCGGAUGGAUUUGAGUAAGAGCAUACGGGGCCGGACCCGAAAGAAGGUGAACUAUGCCUGUGUAGGGUGAAGCCAGAGGAAACUCUGGUGGAGGCUCGCAGCGGUUCUGACGUGCAAAUCGAUCGUCAAACAUGGGCAUGGGGGGCGAAAGACUAAUCGAACCUUCUAGUAGCUGGUUUCCGCCGAAG